rnacentral:rRNA from 1 species
AUGCCACGUACGUCCAGAGCAAGUCAACAAUGGCGUGCUGCUAGUUUCCGCAUCCGUGAGAAGUGUCGUUGUUUUGACGGAUCUCCGGGCGACGCGCGGGAACAUCACACGUUAGCUCUCAUGGCAGCAGUUGUGAGCCUAACGCUGGAGAGAUUUCCAUGCUCCAAAGUUGAGUACAGUACACCGAGGCGAGGCGACUACGACCACGUAUCCGUUCAGAUGCAGAACCUUCAGACGAGAUCGCCAAGUGCAAAAUAUGCCCUCGGUGUCCUGUCGGGGGUGGCUAGUCCCCGACGACGUCUAGGGUUGCGACGGCGCAUCCUGGGCGUGGGUGGAUGUUGCUAUUCUCUGUCAGGGGCGGGGCCAAUGGCAGAGAAGGCAGGAGGGAAGAUGGCAACAGUUCCAGAGAAGACGACGACCCCAAGAUCGACGCAGGCGGCAUCCUCCACGCCGAUGCGGGAGGGAGGGCUGGGGGUUCUGCUGGACGGGGGGCUCCUGUAUCCCCGGCCGAGACCAAAACUCCGACCCAGCUGCGAGCCUCUCAGCGCGGCUAGGGGCAUGAUGUUGAUGGACAAGGAGGCCGACGGAAUCGUCUUUGAAGAAGACGAUCAAUCACUUCCAAAAGCUACAAGAUGGUCGGCAGUCGGCAAGGUUUGCUCCUCCAGGCCUUUGAAGAAAUCUGUGUUGGAAAGAACUAUGCCAAGGGCUUGGAGUCUCCACAAGGAAGCAAGGUUCAGGAAUAUGGGAUCAAACAUAUUUGUGGACUAUGAAGGUGAUGUGAGGCCCUCUGAGAUGGUAUUUGAUAAGAUUGAUAUCUGGGUUCGGGUGGGUGAUCUACCCCGGACAAAAGGACGGAGGCAUUCGGCAAAGCUCUCGGCAACUAGCUGGGAGAGGCUUGUUCACAAGGGAGGGGCCUGCGAUCGUCCCCCCGACUCUUCUGAUCAAUGGGGGGUGUCUUCGGGCGUCUCCCAAGGGAUCGUUCGGAGCACCACAAGGGUGAGAGAAAUGCCAACGAAAAGAAAUCUCAACUCAGAAUUUGAUAGUUUCAGGGAGUACCGCACUGGUGGGCGCUCGAGGGACAAGGACAUAGUUAGCAGCUACAGGCAGUGGUCGGGUAGAGUUGAAGAAGCUAGAGAGGAGGACCUCGGGUACGGGCUUGAGCAGAAAUGGGAGAGAGACUUGCGAAAUAAAUUAGUUGAGCAAAGCCAACAAAGGCAGCGGGAGACAGGAUGGGACGACUACAAUGGAAGAAAGGGCAAGUAUAGUCAUAGUGAAAGUGAAUACGACAGGCAUGCUGUGGGCCGAGACUCUUACAAAGCUGAAUGGGGAGAACCCGCUAUGCAUGCGCCCGCAAUGCAUGGCGAUCGGAACCGACGUAAGGGCCAUUACAUCCGGAAGUACAGAAAGGAUUUUGACCAUCAGCGUGGCAGCUCGUCGCAGGCUAGUGGAGAACAUGAGAGCAGAAAACAAAGGCCCAAGCAAAUGUGGGUUGCCAAGGGAGAGAUGGACAGGCAGGAGGAUAGGAGAGUUUCAUUCGCGACACGAGGCGCAAGACGUCUACAAUGUUUGAUUGCAUCUCCAAGCAUCAUGAUCGAUCGACGGACCCUGCGGGGCCACCUGCAGGAGCAAUGA